rnacentral:rRNA from 1 species
CCUACGGGGUGCAGCAGGCGCGCAAACUUUACAAUGCGAGCAAUCGUGAUAAGGAAACCCUGAGUGCCUGUCGAUGCAGGCUGUUCAUAUAUCUAAAUCAUAUGUGAAGAAAGGGCAGGGCAAGACCGGUGCCAGCCGCCGCGGUAAUACCGGCUGCUCGAGUGAUGGCCACUAUUACUGGGUUUAAAGCGUCCGUAGCUUGACUGUUAGGUCCCUUGGGAAAUCUUCACGCUUAACGUGAAGGCGUCUAAGAGAUACCGGCAGUCUUGGAACUGGGAGAGGUAAACCGUACUUCGGGGGUAGGAGUGAAAUCUUGUAAUCCUCGAGGGACGACCUAUGGCGAAGGCAGUUUACCAGAACAGCUUCGACAGUGAGGGACGAAAGCUGGGGGAGCAAACGGGAUUAGAUACCCCGGUAGUCCCAGCCGUAAACAAUGUGCGUUAGGUGUGUCGGUAACCACGUGUUACUGAUGCGCCGAAGAGAAAUCGUGAAACGCACCACCUGGGAAGUACGGUCGCAAGGCUGAAACUUAAAGGAAUUGGCGGGGGAGCACCACAACAGGUGGAGCCUGCGGUUUAAUUGGAUUCAACGCCGGACAUCUCACCGGAUAAGACAGCUGAAUGAUUGUCAAUCUGAAGGUUUUACAUGACUAGCUGAGAGGAGGUGCAUGGCCGUCGUCAGUUCGUACUGUGAAGCAUCCUGUUAAGUCAGGCAACGAGCGAGACCCACGCCGACAAUUGCCAGCAGCAUCUCCGGAUGGCUGGGGACAUUGUCGGGACCGCCUCUGCUAAAGAGGAGGAAGGAAUGGGCAACGGUAGGUCAGCAUGCCCCGAAUUAUCCGGGCUACACGCGGGCUACAAUGGACGGGACAAUGGGUAACACCACCGAAAGGUGCAGUCAAUCUCCUAACCCCGUCCUUAGUUAGGAUUGCGGGUUGCAACUCACCCGCAUGAAUCUGGAAUCUGUAGUAAUCGCGUUUCACUAUAGCGCGGUGAAUACGUCCCUGCUCCUUGCACUCACCGCCCGUC